CGUGUAGGCGGGUGAUCAAGUCAGGUGUGAAAUCCCUGGGCUCAACCCAGGAACUGCACUUGAAACUGGUCGCCUUGAGUGUUGGAGAGGGAAGCGGAAUUCCUGGUGUAGAGGUGAAAUUCGUAGAUAUCAGGAGGAACACCGGUGGCGAAGGCGGCUUCCUGGACAAUUACUGACGCUGAGACGCGAAAGCGUGGGGAGCAAACAGGAUUAGAUACCCUGGUAGUCCACGCCGUAAACGAUGAGUGCUAGGUGUCUCGGGUAUUGACCCCUGAGGUGCCGUAGCUAACGCGUUAAGCACUCCGCCUGGGAACUACGGCCGCAAGGCUAAA
rnacentral:rRNA from 1 species